AGCGAACGCUGGCGGCAGGCCUAACACAUGCAAGUCGAACGAACUCUUCGGAGUUAGUGGCGGACGGGUGAGUAACACGUGGGAACGUGCCUUUAGGUUCGGAAUAACUCAGGGAAACUUGUGCUAAUACCGAAUGUGCCCUUCGGGGGAAAGAUUUAUCGCCUUUAGAGCGGCCCGCGUCUGAUUAGCUAGUUGGUGAGGUAAAGGCUCACCAAGGCGACGAUCAGUAGCUGGUCUGAGAGGAUGAUCAGCCACAUUGGGACUGAGACACGGCCCAAACUCCUACGGGAGGCAGCAGUGGGGAAUCUUGCGCAAUGGGCGAAAGCCUGACGCAGCCAUGCCGCGCGAAUGAUGAAGGUCUUAGGAUUGUAAAAUUCUUUCACCGGGGACGGUAAUGACGGUACCCGGAGAAGAAGCCCCGGCUAACUUCGUGCCAGCCGCCGCAGUAAUAC
rnacentral:rRNA from 1 species